rnacentral:rRNA from 1 species
AUUGAACGCUGGCGGCAUGCUUUACACAUGCAAGUCGAACGGUAACAGGUUAAGCUGACGAGUGGCGAACGGGUGAGUAAUGCAUCGGAACGUGCCCGAUCGUGGGGGAUAACGCAGCGAAAGCUGCGCUAAUACCGCAUACGAUCUGAGGAUGAAAGCGGGGGACCGUAAGGCCUCGCGCGAUCGGAGCGGCCGAUGUCCGAUUCGGUAGUUGGUGGGGUAAAGGCCCACCAAGCCGACGAUCUGUAGCUGGUCUGAGAGGACGACCAGCCACACUGGGACUGGUACACGGCCCAGACUCCUACGGGAGGCAGCAGUGGGGAAUUUUGGAAAAUGGGCGAAAGCCUGAUCCAGCAAUGCCGCGUGCAGGAAGAAGGCCUUCGGGUUGUAAACUGCUUUUGUACGGAGCGAAAAGGUCCUUUCUAAUACANGGGGCUCAUGACGGUACCGUAAGAAUAAGCACCGGCUAACUACGUGCCAGCCGCCGCCGUAACA